AACAACAAUUUCUGUGUCUUUGAUCCCCAUCUUUCUUAUUUUCUUAUUUUCUUAUUUUUCACAUCCACACAACCAUGAGCUUUUUCUUUGCUUUUUAUUUCUUUUCUUUUUCUUUGCUCUAUAGUUUCAAAGGUGAUUUCUUUUUCUUGUUUCUUUUCACACUUUCACCCUUUUAUAAAACAUCACUUUUCCAAGUUUCUAAUCAACUCUUCUAAUUUACUCUCACUAUAGUUUCAAAGGUGAUUUCUUUUUCUUGUUUCUUUUCACACUUUCACCCUUUUAUAAAACAUCACUUUUCCAAGUUUCUAAUCAACUCUUCUAAUUUACUCUCCCCAAC
rnacentral:lncRNA from 1 species